rnacentral:tRNA from 1 species
AAAGAAUUAGUUAAAAAAUAACAUAAAUAUGUCAAAUUUAAAUUAUUAAAUAUUAAUAUUCUUUU